UACGUAGGGUGCAAGCGUUAAUCGGAAUUACUGGGCGUAAAGCGUGCGCAGGCGGUGAUGUAAGACAGGUGUGAAAUCCCCGGGCUUAACCUGGGAACUGCAUUUGUGACUGCAUCGCUGGAGUGCGGCAGAGGGGGAUGGAAUUCCGCGUGUAGCAGUGAAAUGCGUAGAGAUGUGGAGGAACACCGAUGGCGAAGGCAGCCCCCUGGGUCAAGACUGACGCUCAUGCACGAAAGCGUGGGGAGCAAACAGG
rnacentral:rRNA from 1 species